rnacentral:lncRNA from 1 species
CUUGGCCAAUAACAUGAGUUAAAUUCCUUUUACAAAAUAGGUUUAACUACGACUUCUUUUGUCAGACAUUUGCGAUGAAGCUGACAUUCUUCAUUGAUGGCGUUAAGAGUCACAUUUUCAUAUUUCCGUGUUUUUAUGAGUUCUUCAAGACCUCCAAACUUAAACUUAUAUACCUCCAACAAAAUUUUAUCAUCGUUUCUUCCUGUAUAAGAAUGAUCUUUUUGUGGAUUGAAAAAGUCAACUAAAUGGUCCAUCCCUUUUGUUUUACUUUCAAUGUUGACAUUCUUUUCCUUUUCGUCGAGCCUGCGUUUUUUGUCGCAAAAGCGAGACAUAGCGAACCAACCUAAUAAUUCCGUCGCCAGCGGCGUCCACAAAUAUUCGCUCUGUGGUUAUAUUUUUUAAAUUUUGAUAAGUUUUUCAAAUUAUCCUGGAUUUCUACCAAACUUGAACAGAAGCUUCAGUUGUUUAUGAUCAAAAGAUAAAUUUCAAGAAGUAAAUUUUGUAAAAAUAAAAUCAAGUUUUUCCGUAUUUUACUUAUAAAGGGACUUAGUUUUUAUGCCAGUUAACAUUACAU